rnacentral:rRNA from 1 species
AAGGGAAUCUUCCGCAAUGGGCGAAAGCUUUACGGAGCAACGCCGCGUGAGUGAUGAAGGUCUUCUGAUCGUAAAACUCUGUUAUUAGGGAAGAACAAAUGUGUAAGUAACUAUGCACGUCUUGACGGUACCUAAUCAGUAAGCCACGGCUAACUACGUGCCAGCAGCCGCGUUAAUACGUAGGUGGCAAGCGUUCUCCGGAAUUAUUGCGCGUAACGCGCGCGUAGUCGGUUUUUUAAGUCUGUUGUGAAAGCCCACGGCUCAACCGUCAAGGGUCAUUGGAAACUGGAAAACUUGAGUGCAGAAGAGGAAAGUGGAAUUCCAUGUGUAGCGGUGAAAUGCGCAGAGAUAUGUGGAAACGCCUGUAGCGAAGGCGACUUUCUGGUCUGUAACUGACGCUGAUGUGCGAAAGCGUGGGGAUCAAACAGG